AGUAAAAGUCGUAACAAGGUUUCCGUAGGUGAGCCUGCGGAAGGAUCAUUACCGAGUGCGGGCCCUCUGGGUCCAACCUCCCAUCCGUGUCUCUUGUACCCUGUUGCUUCGGCGGGCCCGCCUUCAUGGCCGCCGGGGGGCUCUCUAGCCCCCGGGCCCGCGCCCGCCGGAGACUCCAACAUUGAACACUGUCUGAAGUUUGCAGUCUGAGUUUUCAUAUAAGAAAAAUCGUUAAAACUUUCAACAACGGAUCUCUUGGUUCCGGCAUCGAUGAAGAACGCAGCGAAAUGCGAUACGUAAUGUGAAUUGCAGAAUUCAGUGAAUCAUCGAGUCUCUGAACGCACAUUGCGCCCUCUGGUAUUCCGGGGGGCAUGCCUGUCCGAGCGUCAUUGCUGCCCUCAAGCACGGCUUGUGUGUUGGGCCCCCGUCCCGGUUCUCCAGCCGGGACGGGCCCGAAAGGCAGCGGCGGCACCGUGUCCGGUCCUCGAGUGUAUGGGGCUCUGUCACCCACUCGUGUAGGUCCGGCCGGCGGCCAGCCUCAACCAAACUUUUUUAACCAGGUUGACCUCGGAUCAGGUAGGGAUACCCGCUGAACUUAAGCAUAUCAAUAAGCGGAGGAAAAGAAACCAACAGGGAUUGCCCCAGUAACG
rnacentral:rRNA from 1 species